GCAUAACGCGAAGAACCUUACCCACCUUUGACAUGUACGGAACUUGCCAGAGAUGGCUUGGUGCUCGAAAGAGAACCGUAACACAGGUGCUGCAUGGCUGUCGUCAGCUCGUGUCGUGAGAUGUUGGGUUAAGUCCCGCAACGAGCGCAACCCUUGUCAUUAGUUGCUACAUUCAGUUGGGCACUCUAAUGAGACUGCCGGUGACAAACCGGAGGAAGGUGGGGAUGACGUCAAGUCCUCAUGGCCCUUAUAGGUGGGGCUACACACGUCAUACAAUGGCCGGUACAAAGGGUUGCCAACCCGCGAGGGGGAGCUAAUCCCAUAAAGCCGGUCGUAGUCCGGAUCGCAGUCUGCAACUCGACUGCGUGAAGUCGGAAUCGCUAGUAAUCGUGGAUCAGAAUGUCACGGUGAAUACGUUCCCGGGUCUUGUACACACCG
rnacentral:rRNA from 1 species